AUGCAGGAUAAGUUACAGUGCAGCCUGUGUAGUGCUGUGUUGUCGUUCCCCCUGCAAAAAAUGACAUGUUUCCUCGCUAUACCUGUCAAGUCAACUUCCCUAGAUUGACAGGGACGUAAGGUUUCAGACAA
ensembl:snoRNA SNORA63 Small nucleolar RNA SNORA63